UAGGGAAUCUUCCGCAAUGGACGAAAGUCUGACGGAGCGACGCCGCGUGAGCGAAGAAGGUCUUCGGAUCGUAAAGCUCUGUUGUUAGGGAAGAAGAAGUGCCGUUCGAACAGGGCGGCACGGUGACGGUACCUAACGAGAAAGCCCCGGCUAACUACGUGCCAGCAGCCGCGGUAAUACGUAGGGGGCGAGCGUUGUCCGGAAUUAUUGGGCGUAAAGCGCGCGCAGGCGGUCCCUUAAGUCUGAUGUGAAAGCCCACGGCUUAACCGGGGAGGGUCAUUGGAAACUGGGGGACUUGAGUGCAGAAGGGGGGGGCGGAAUUCCACGUGGAGCGGUGGAAUGCGUAGAGAUGGGGAGGAACACCAGUGGCGAAGGCGGCUCUCUGGUCUGUAACUGACGCUGAGGCGCGAAAGCGUGGGGAGCAAACAGG
rnacentral:rRNA from 1 species